rnacentral:lncRNA from 1 species
UGUUAAAUAUUUACCCGAUUCCGGUGAAGCUGUUGAAGAGCCGGCAGACAUUGCUGAAAGCGCGAAAUGGAACCACUCUCGACCGUGUUUUUUUUCAACCUUUGGGGCUAUUUAUUCUUGACAGAAGAGGAAAGCCAAAUAUUUGAAGCCUAUCAUCACUUCUUUGCAAAUUAUAGAGAGGACAAGGUUGUUUUGGUUUCACGUAAAAAUUACACUUCCUUGCGAAUUGGAAAAAAAAAAUUAGUAAAGAAAAAACAUCAUUUAUACAUAACAAACGACAAAUUUA